GCAGGGGUCGCCUAGCCUGGUCAAUGGCGCAGGCCUGAGGCGCCUGUGGCUUAGUGCCUUCGUGGGUUCAAAUCCCACCCCCUGCA
rnacentral:tRNA from 1 species